rnacentral:rRNA from 1 species
CGUUCCCGGGCCUUGUACACACCGCCCGUCACACCCCGAAAGUGGGCAAUAGAUGAAGCCGGUGGCCUAACCGUAAGGAGGGAGCCGUCGAGUCUAGGGUUCGUGAUUGGGGUG